rnacentral:rRNA from 1 species
ACAUGAAGCUGGAAUCGCUAGUAAUCGCGAAUCAGAAUGUCGCGGUGAAUACGUUCCCGGGUCUUGUACACACCGCCCGUCACACCAUGGGAGUCGGUAACGCCCGAAGCCUGUGACCCAACCGUAAGGAGGGAGCAGUCGAAGGUGGGACCGGUGACUGGGGUGAAGUCGUAACAAGGUAUC